AACGAACGCUGGCGGCAUGCCUAACACAUGCAAGUCGAACGAGACCUUCGGGUCUAGUGGCGCACGGGUGCGUAACGCGUGGGAACCUGCCCUUAGGUUCGGAAUAACUCCCCGAAAGGGGUGCUAAUACCGGAUAAUGUCUUCGGACCAAAGAUUUAUCGCCUUUGGAUGGGCCCGCGUUGGAUUAGCUAGUUGGUAGGGUAAAAGCCUACCAAGGCGACGAUCCAUAGCUGGUCUGAGAGGAUGGUCAGCCACACUGGGACUGAGACACGGCCCAGACUCCUACGGGAGGCAGCAGUGGGGAAUAUUGGACAAUCGGCGAAAGCCUGAUCCAGCAAUGCCGCGUGAGUGAUGAAGGCCUUAGGGUUGUAAAGCUCUUUUACCCGGGAUGAUAAUGACAGUACCGGGAGAAUAAGCGCCGGCUAACUCCGUG
rnacentral:rRNA from 1 species